CCCACGCAUGACAGGUGUUCGGUCCAGCCAGUUGACUGGGGAGAAAUCUAUAAACCCAAGGUCUCCUUCAGGGUCUCCUAGAGGCUGGGUUUCUUCUUCCCACAACUGGCUGGCUGAUCUGAGAUUAUACUGUCAAAACUUGAUCUAGACAAUACUAGCGAAAGGACAUGCGUGACUUUGAUU
rnacentral:ncRNA from 1 species